rnacentral:rRNA from 1 species
UUUGUAGAAUGAACCGGCGAGUUACGAUUUGUUGCAAGGUUAAGCGGAAAAAGCGGAGCCGUAGCGAAAGCGAGUCUGAAUAGGGCGCAUAAGUAACAGGUCGUAGACCCGAAACCAGGUGAUCUACCCAUGUCCAGGAUGAAGGUAAGGUAAUACUUACUGGAGGUCCGAACCCACGCACGUUGAAAAGUGCGGGGAUGAGGUGUGGGUAGCGGAGAAAUUCCAAUCGAACUUGGAGAUAGCUGGUUCUCUCCGAAAUAGCUUUAGGGCUAGCCUCGAGGUAAAGAGUCAUGGAGGUAGAGCACUGUUUGGACUAGGGGCCCUUCUCGGGUUACCGAAUUCAGAUAAACUCCGAAUGCCAUGUACUUAUACUCGGGAGUCAGACUGCGAGUGAUAAGAUCCGUAGUCGAAAGGGAAACAGCCCAGACCACCAGUUAAGGUCCCCAAAUAUAUGUUAAGUGGAAAAGGAUGUGGGGUUGCUUAGACAACCAGGAUGUUGGCUUAGAAGCAGCCACCAUUGAAAGAGUGCGUAAUAGCUCACUGGUCGAGUGACCCCGCGCCGAAAAUGUACCGGGGCUAAACAUAUUACCGAAACUGUGGAUGAACCUCUUUAGAGGUUCGUGGUAGGAGAGCGUUCUAAGGGCGGUGAAGUCAGACCGGAAGGACUGGUGGAGCGCUUAGAAGUGAGAAUGCCGGUAUGAGUAGCGAAAGAAGGGUGAGAAUCCCUUCCACCGAAUAUCUAAGGUUUCCUGAGGAAGGCUCGUCCGCUCAGGGUUAGUCGGGACCUAAGCCGAGGCCGAUAGGCGUAGGCGAUGGACAACAGGUAGAGAUUCCUGUACCAGUGCUAAUUGUUUAACCGAUGGGGUGACACAGAAGGAUAGGGAAUCGCACGAAUGGAAAUGUGCGUCCAA